AUUCUUUGGGGUGGAGCAAUGCUGAUUUCCUUAAAGCCAUGUGAGUAGAUAUCCUGUCUGUAUAUAUGCACUGCAUCAAGGGCUGUCUAUAGGCUUCUUAACAAUUUCUUUGAAACAUCCUGCUAAGUCUUCUCUUCUCUGAUCAAACCCAGCGCACAAAUCCUACUUUCAGAGAUGCAUCUGUGGCCACCUGUAAUCAUUUGUACUGUUAUAUUGGGCUUCUCCAAGGCUGACAAAGUCUUACAGAACCCAUUUAUAUCAGUUCAGAAUGGGGAAAAGGUCACUUUUAAUUGUACGUAUGAAACAACAGACAGCAACCCAUACCUGCACUGGUAUAUCCAAAGGCCGGGAGUGAGACCUCACUUUAUCCUACUCAGGCAUCAGUUCAGCAAGGAAGAGGAUGAACCUGGUGGAAAGUAUUCAUCAAAACUGAACAAGGAGAGCAAAUACACUGAGCUGAGGAUCUCUGGUGUCAGUGUGUCUGACUCUGGGCUGUAUUAUUGUGCUGUGAGUCCCACAGUGUCUUUCUCUGCUGCCUCCUCUGUACAAGAAGCUCUGGCUCUGUCCAUGGUGCUUCUGACUUGCAGUAUCUCUCUCUUCCUCUGCACCUAACACUGUUCAACAAACUCUUCAAGGUGCUGCUGACAAUUGAACGCACUGUAAAUGUCUGUGUUCUUGCAAUAUUAUCUGGAUCUGAAGUCAAAGGUUCAUUCAAACCCAUAUGGUUAAACUAUGAGGUGUACAGUUUUAUGGUGAACUGAGAAAGUUUUAUUCAUUUAAUUAUAUGUAUAUACUCUGUCCUAUUUGUCAUCUCAGCAAACAUUUUGAAUUCCAAAAUUGUAACCCUUGGAAAAACUAGCAGAAAAAACAGGAAAUGAACCCUACUCUCUGUAACAGGGCUACUUGACCUAUAGGUGAUUAAAUGGUAUAUUUAUCAUGCAAGGAGACGUAAAGGCCUAUUUAUUGAAGGACAAAUGUUAGUGGUGUUAGAGGUUUUUGAAACUACAAAUAAACUAAUUUCCAUAAAUGUCAGUCAUGUAUCAAAAGAUCUGAAUUGAUGAAGCACGAAUGGGAAAAAGUUGCAGAAAA